AAGGGUCAAGUCUCAAGAUGGCCCAGUUGUAUUCAGGACCCAGUUGAAAAGAGGAGAAAGCAUUUCCAGACUAUGGUGAAACAACAGGAUUAUUGGAGACAGGUGGUUGCUAACUAAUGGAGAAGCACCAUUUAGGAGAUGUUUGGAGACUCCUACACUGCAGACUUCAUGCUAUGGAACAGCAACUGUCAAAACAGAAAAACCUGGCAAACACCUGAAGCAAGUGAUCAAAGUUAACUCCACCAAUGAGAAGACAAAAUUGCAGCAUGUACUUCCUGGUAAUGAUGUGCUAAGGAAAACACAUCACUUCUAUGGUAUUCCUGCAGAAAGUACAUGACAUGAACCUAGUCAUGAGAAAGCAGACUAACUUA